GCCUUGAAUAACGGUAGCAAAAGUUUUAAAAUUUUAAACGAUUUGGUUAUUUUAAAAACUUUUGAUUCUAAAUUAAAAAUAGUCGAAUGCACUAAUUAUAAAUCGACCUUACAUAAAGGGUAUUGGGAUGUGGACUUAGUUUGGAUCGAUCUUAUCUCUCCUGUAGCUUUUGUUUGGCUGUUGUUACCCAGUCUCGGGUUGAGUGUCCAUUCCGUUCCCCGACUCCUUGCAGCAAAGGAUAAUGCCACACAAAUAGCUAACAAAUUUUGCCUGCCAGGACACCGAGGACAACGGAGAGAAAACCACAAACAGCGGCAAAGGGAAACUUUUUAUCGCUGGCCAGGUUAACUUUUAAGCAGACCAACAAGGACUCCCGAUUUAAGAGGAGCGCAGGACAUUUGCCGGAGAUAAACAGAUUUAUUGUGCUUAAGGACGCACGUUAAACGGGGCGGAGGGACUAACACAGUAAGCCGAAAGACCAAGUACAAGGACAGCGAUAAGGGCUGCGGAACUGCCAGGACUGUUUAUAGAUUUUUCGGUGUCCCCAAUUAGCGCAAAAGAAAGGCGGGGGAGAUGGGGAGAUGGGGAGAAGCGUCGGAAAUUAGGGGAAUAAAAAGAGUACAGACACUGUGCUCCUGUGUCCUUACUCCGUACUCGUUUCAGGCUAAUAGAAAUGUCAUAGUAACACUAAGAAAAAAUAUGUGAUAAAAAGCAAUUUCAAGCGAUACGAGUUUUUAAUGU
ensembl:ncRNA lncRNA:CR44696 long non-coding RNA:CR44696